GACGAACGCUGGCGGCGUGCUUAACACAUGCAAGUCGAACGGAAAGGCCCUGCUUUUGUGGGGUGCUCGAGUGGCGAACGGGUGAGUAACACGUGAGUAACCUGCCCUUGACUGUGGGAUAACUUCAGGAAACUGGGGCUAAUACCGGAUAGGAGCUCCUGCUGCAUGGGGGGGGUUGGAAAGUUUCGGCGGUUGGGGAUGGACUCGCGGCUUAUCAGCUUGUUGGUGGGGUAGUGGCUUACCAAGGCUUUGACGGGUAGCCGGCCUGGGAGGGUGACCGGCCACAUUGGGACUGAGAUACGGACCAGACUCCUACGGGAGGCAGCAGUGGGGAGUAUUGCGCAAUGGGCGGAAGCCUGAUGCAGCAAUGCCGCGUGCGGGAUGACGGCCUUCGGGUUGUAAACCGCUUUCGCAUGUGCCGAAGCGUGAGUGACGGUAAUGGGUAAAGAAGCACCGGCUAACUACGUG
rnacentral:rRNA from 1 species